GGAGCCCUAAGCCAUCGGACACGCUGCUUGAAGAGCUUGCUGAAAAAUGUGUCGGUAAGAUGAAAAAGCGCUCCGAGUUCCUGCCUGUGCCUGGGUCCUGACAGCGUCUGAGCUUGUGCCAGGCAGUACCCAAGCUCCCGUGCCUUCCCUCAGAAUUCGCCCACCAGCCAGGCGGCACGCCUUGCUCGCUCGCAGAGUGGGAUGCUUCUGCCUACGUCCCUUCCCUUGUCUCCCACAACGCGGAAGGGUUUGCGGGGCAUCCUCCUCAGGAGCAAAGUUUUGCUCAGAGGGCUACUUCCGCCGCACCGGCUAUAGGGCGCUGGGCCUCCCAGAACGGGAGUUCCCCACCACGGAACGCCUCUGCGGGGCAGGACCUCUUUUCCCGCUGUCCCUGGAACUCUUCCCCUUCGGGCCACAUGCCCGGACUUUGGCAGUGUCCCUUGGCAAAGCCUGUCCUUGACUCCUCUGUGCUGCCUGAGACUGACGGACCUUUUGAUUCUGGUCUGCUGAAUUAGGAUACUGUGGGGCCGAUAUUCAAGCCCUCUGCGCUGAAGCUGCCCUCUGUGCUCUCCAUCGCCACUAUCCCCACAUCUACACAAGCAGUCAGAAGCUGCAGAUCGACGUGGCUGCCGUUGAAAUCACAGCAACGGAUUUUGCGGUGGCUAUGCAGAAGACUGCACCCGCUUCACAGAGGGCCGUGGCUUCCCCUGGACAACCACUCCCACUCAUUUCCAAGCCUCUGCUUCAGAACACGCUAGAGAGGCUCCUAAAAGGCGUGCAGAGGGGAUUUCCCCAUGCAGCCCUUGCACUCCAGAAGCACCAACAGCCAGAAAACGACUGCCUGGAGAGGGAGGGCGAGUCACCUUCUGGACAACAAAAAGAAACCUUCCUUAACUUGAACAGGUAACUGCCCGCGGCCUUUUGAGUGAAAUGCUUCUGCUUGCUGGGGCUUUCCAAACUGCCUUGGCGGUUGCAAGCGGCAGGGGUGGCAGAUGAGGGAGGAAAGAAGCGUUUGUCCAGGGUGUCUGGUGUCCAAAACUGCCAGAAGCAAGCACGGCGAUAGAACUAGCUGCUACAGUGUGUGCCGGACAGGGAAAGACACCUCCACCAUCUGGGUCUUGACCGAUCGCUUUCCUUCCAAACUGCUUGUCUUGCAGCUCUUCUCCUAGCAAUGCUUGCGGCCAGCCAGCAUGUCACAGGCCCAGGUUCCUGAUAGCUGGAGAGCCCGGCUACGGGCAAACUUCUCACUUGGCGCCUGCACUAAUACACGCGCUGGAGAGGUUUGCCGUUCAUGUGCUGGACCUGCCGGCUCUCUUUGCUAGCAGCACGUCACCUGAAGAAAGAUGCACCCAGGUACCACUUCUCUCUGCAGGCUCCCAGGAUUAAUAGAUUUCUUGAGGAAACAGGUAGGUUAGGGAGCUUUUCAACUCCCAGCUUCGGCGUUGGCGGGGAGCAGUGUGUAGGCUCCCUAAUGUCCAAAGAUCACUG
rnacentral:lncRNA from 1 species